rnacentral:rRNA from 1 species
CAUGGUUUUUUGAAAAUAAUUUAAAAUUUGAUCUGCUCAAUGAAUAAUUAAAUUGCCGCAGUAUAUUAACUGUGCAAAGGUAGCAUAAUAAUUAGUUUCUUGAUUAGAAGCUGGAAUGAAUGAUUGGACGAUAAAAUAGCUGUCUCUGAAUAAUUUUUUAAUGAAUUUUAUUUUUAAGUUAAAAAGCUUAAAUUAUUUUAAAAGACGAGAAGACCCUAUAGAGUUUAAUAAAAUUUAUUAUUCAUAAUUUUAGUAUUUUUUUAUAUUAAUUUUAUUUAGUUGGGGUGACUUGAAAAUUUAAGUAAUUUUUUAAAGUUUUAAUUUUUAAUUAAAAAAUUCUUAAUCUAUUUUUUUAAAAAUAAAAUAAAUUACCUUAGGGAUAACAGCGUAAUUUUUCUUUAAAGUUCAUAUUAAAAGAAAAGUUUGCGACCUCGAUGUUGGAUUAAAAUUAAUUUUUGGUGCAGUAGCUAAAGAAUUAAGUCUGUUCGACUUUUAAAAUU